ensembl:lncRNA
AUGCAGGGCGGGGCGGGUCACGUGAAGAGGCGCGGUUUUGUUUCUGCGCAUGCGCAGCGCGGCCGAGAGGCGGGUGGGUGGGGCCGCGCAUGCGCGGCGGGUCUCUGCGCACGGCGCGGAGGUUUGGCGCAUGCGCAGUGGCUGCGCGCCGCCGCCCCGCCCCACCCCCGGCCGCAGUCGUUGAGUGGCCGCCGUCGCGGACGGACGCUCCGCGCUGAGGCUCCGACGCCGCCGCCAUGGCCGACCCUGCCGCUCAAUCCCCGUUCGUCUCCUCCUCCUCGGCUCCUUCCGAGCCAACCGGGUCGGCCUGCAGGAGGCACGGAACCCCGGCUUGUGCCGCACCCCAUAGGAGCAGCACCCCAUAGGAGCAGCACCCCCACCGUUGUGGCACAUCACAGAAUCACAGAAUGGUCAGGUUUGGAAGGGACCACAAGGAUCACGAAUCUCCAACCCCCCCCACCCCCAACAUCCAGGACCACCAACCUCCACAUUUCACAGCAGCCCAGGCUGCUCAGAUCCCCAUCCAACCUGGCUUUGAACACCUCCAGGGAUGGACUGAGCAUCCACAGCCUCUCUGGGCAGCUGUUCCAGCACCUCACCACUCUCAUAUCAAACAAUUUCCCCCCUGACAUCCAACCUCAAUCAACUUCAGACCGUUUCCCCUCAUCCUGCUAUCAUCUCCCCUUUCCAAGAGUUGAUUCCCCUCCUGUUUGUAGGUUCACUUUAGCUCUAGGAAGGCUGUAAUGAGCUCACCCAGCAGCCUUCUUUCUCCAGGCUGAACAAGCUCAGCUCCCUCAGCCUGUCUUCAUAGGGGAGGUGCUGCAGCCCCCUGAUCAUUUUUAUGGCCCUUUAAUCAUCUUUGUGGCCUCCUGAUUGUCUUUAUGGCCCCUCAAUUAUCUUUAUGGCCCCCUGAUCAUCUUCAUCUCAACCCUCUCCAACAGCUCUCUGUCUUUCCUGUAUUGGAACCCCCAGCCCUGCACACAGCACUCCAGAUGUGGCCUCACAUCUGAGCAGAAUAGAGAGGGCGAAAAAUCACCUCCCUGUCCCUGCUGGCCACCCCCUCUGCUGAUGAUGGAGCCCAGGAUGGAUUCCUAUUUGCUUUCCCAGCUGUAAUCACACGCUGUUGGUUCACGUUAAGCUUACAUCACACCUCGAGCCCCAUAAGAACAGCAUCCCAGAGGUUAAAAAAUAUAUACAAAAAAACAACAAAAAAAACCCCAGUUUGGUCAAAGCUGGAUGUCACCUGGAGGAAGUUGUAAGUUUUGUGCUGAGCAGCAGUUUGAGGUGAAAAACCACUGCUUUGAGACACUCCAAAAAAGGGAAACUGGAAGAAACGAGAUGUCGUGCCCCGUAAUGUUUUUGGGGUACAAAGAAAGCAGUGCUUGCAGGUUUUUGUCGUCAUCCUCGUUAGCAGUCAUUAACGAAGGCUGGGAAACCUGCUCUGUGUGGGUGGGAGGAGGGAAUGGGCACUGAGCCCCGACGUGGCUGCAGGGAGGAGGAAGAUUUUGGGGCCGGUGCUGCAACUCCAUUUGGGACUGAAGCCAGAAAUGGGGGCUGAGGAAGAGGAGAGAAUGGGAACCGCACCCCAAAAUGGUGAUGAAGGAGGAGGAGAAAGAUGGGGACCAGAUCCCCAAAAUGGUGAUGAAGGAGGGAAAGGGACCAAACCCCAAAAUGGCUCUGAAUGAGGGAAAGGGACCAAACCCCAAAAUGGCUCUGAAGGAGGGAAAGGGACCAGACCCCAAAA